AUGUGACGACGUAAUGAAUAUUACAGUAGAUAAAAGUGGAGGGUGCGCAAACAGGGACGGUUUGAUGUGAGAAUUAGAGGAGGGUCAUUUUCUUCCUGAAGACUUUAAAGAGGUGGGGGCCCCCGGCUGCUGUGUCAGAAAAAAGAUGUGCUGGCUGCAGGUGGAUCAGCCGUUUCUGCGGCCAGGUGAGUCCAGCUGCGGCGCGCGCGCGCCCUCCCCGUGCUCCGUGGCACAGCUGCUCGCCUCGCGCCUGCGGAGGAUCGGGGACCAGCUCGAGAAGAGCUGGACCCCCCUGGAGGGGGCCGUCGGCCCGGGCUGCAGGAGCGGAGAGCAGGCGGUGUGGAACGGGAGAAGCGGCUUCUUCACCAUCUGCUGGGGGGGCUUUCUGCGCCUCGCGGUGCGAUUCACGGUGCUCGUGCUGUUCGGCGCGAGACCACACCUGUAGGGCGCGAGGCUCCAAAAGCAGCCUCAUCUAACAGCCGCGCGCUCUUUGUGGGAUUAUGCCACGCGCAUCUUUUGCACUGACAGGAGAGCACGCGCUCUCUGAAGCGGCUGCGCUCACGGAGGAGGUGGAAAGGAGCCGUGCAUUGUGGACUCGGAGCUCGCGGAGCUGCAUCUCGGAGCCGCUGGAGAUCGCUGACACUGACAGGAGCUGACGCAGCUUCUCCUGCUGGUCCCCGCAGCCCCCGCGCGGCCGCGGCUCCUCCAUUCUGUCAUCGCUUUUUUACCAAGCGGUGAUGUAAUCCUCCCCUGGUGGAGCGCAGGGAAAAGCUAAUGCCGCGCGCCCUUCAGCUGCUUUCACCUGCAGCUGGACUCAAGUAAAAACACCUGCGACUCAUUUAAAGCAGUUGUGUUAUUUAUUAAUGCACUAAAAUUAUAAGCUUCAAAAUGCAAUCGACUGUUUCCCUAUAAAUAAUUUAUGUCUGUGUAAACAUAAUACUAUUGGUGUUUUUUUGUUCGUUUUUACUGUUUUUUUAACAACAAAAAUCUGAAACAAAUAUGAGGCAAAAGUUUCUAUGCAGUUGGAAGUUGGAGCAUUAAAAGGUGAAAAAUAAAACACUAAAAAAGUUUUUUUAAGUCGAAGACAGGGUUCUUUCAGGUGCACAAGUCUUUUUGUAUUUUUAAGCUUUAAAAAAGGGCUUGAAUUCUUUUCUAAUUUCGAAAACCAUUGUUUGCUUAUUGAAAGACAUUUUUAUUGAACCUAAACUGAAGGUUUUGUAUUGGAAAAAAUACAAACAAGGCAGUUCUUUUGCCGUUGGAAAUAUGCUAUUUUACAUUCUUGACAUUAAAAAAAGUGUUUGUUUUUUCAUUUACAUUUUUUAACUGUCUAAAACUUUGAUUAUCUGUAAAUUAGUAACAGUAGUAAAUACUAGAAAAAAAUAAUUUUGGGCUGUAUAAUUGUGUGGUUUUUACUUCAUUUUCAGUAAAGUGCUGGAAAAGUUUUUAUAAAUGACCCUGGAUGGGAGGAGAGCGUAAAAAAUGUGUUGGAAAAACUUUAAAAACAAAAAAUAACAAUCAACGCAGAAAUGCAAACAUUGUUUCAGGUUAUGAGACAAAUGAUUUUUUUAAAAAAGUUGCACAGUCUUGCCUCAAACAGGGAUAGCAGGUCACCCUUUAUUUGUGCUUUAUUAGCUUUUUGGCAGUGUUAUGUGGCUUUUUAUAGACAUGCUGGAUUUGUGGAUAAUGUGUGUUUUCUAUUAAGAAAAAAAGAUUCAAUUUUAAUGACAUUCAUACAGUCUGUUUUCUUUUUUGUCUAUAAUAUUUCAUAUGGAUUUUUUAGCAGUCGUCCUAAUAAAAUCUUUCACUGCA